UACGUAGGGGGCGAGCGUUGUCCGGAUUUAUUGGGCGUAAAGAGCGUGUAGGCGCCAGGUAGGUCCGCUGUGAAAACUCGAGGCUCAACCUCGAGACGUCGGCGGAAACCAUCUGGCUAGAGUCCGGAAGAGGAGAGUGGAAUUCCUGGUGUAGCGGUGAAAUGCGUAGAGAUCAGGAAGAACACCGGUGGCGAAGGCGCUCUGCUAGGCCGCAACUGACACUGAGGGACGAAAGCUAGGGGAGCGAAUGGG
rnacentral:rRNA from 1 species